AGUCUCAGUUCGGAUCGCAGGCUGCAACUCGCCUGCGUGAAGUUGGAAUUGCAGUAAUCGCGGAUCAGCAUGCCGCGGUGAAUACGUUCCCGGGCCUUGUACACACCGCCCGUCACACCAUGGGAGUUUGUAACACCCGAAGUCAGUAUCCUAACCGCAAGGGGGGAGCUGCCGAAGGUGGGAUAAGCGACUGGGGUGAAGUCGUAACAAGGUAUC
rnacentral:rRNA from 1 species